AUCAUGGAGAGUUUGAUCCUGGCUCAGAACGAACGCUGGCGGCGCGUCUUAAGCAUGCAAGUCGGACGGUAAGGAAGGAGCUUGCUUCUUCCCUAGAGUGGCGGACUGGUGAGGAACGCGUGGGUGACGCACCCUCCGGACGGGGAUAGCCGGUAGAAAUACCGGGUAAUACCGGAUAAGAGCGCCUCCUUGGAGGGAGGCGGAGAAAGCGGCUUCGGCCGCGCCGGAGGAACGGCCCGCGUGCUAUUAGCUAGUUGGCGGGGUAACGGCCCACCAAGGCGACGAUAG
rnacentral:ncRNA from 1 species